ACGAAGGGGGCUAGCGUUGUUCGGAUUUACUGGGCGUAAAGCGCACGUAGGCGGGUCGUUAAGUCGGGGGUGAAAUCCUGGAGCUCAACUCCGGAACUGCCUUCGAUACUGGCGACCUAGAGUCCGGAAGAGGUGAGUGGAACUCCUAGUGUAGAGGUGGAAUUCGUAGAUAUUAGGAAGAACACCAGUGGCGAAGGCGGCUCACUGGUCCGGUACUGACGCUGAAGUGCGAAAGCGUGGGGAGCAAACAG
rnacentral:rRNA from 1 species